CCGGCCCGCCCCGCGGCGGCAGCCGCUCCAGCGACGACCUGAGCGCCUACGCCAGCAUCAGCUUCCAGCAGCGGCGCGACGUGUAGGAGCGGCCGGCGCAGAACGAUGACCUAUACAACCUCAGCAAAUCCUUCUUUUAACUCAUGGGUAUCAAGACUCUAAAUGUUUCAUGUUAUCACAACUAGGACCUCACCUCCUCCUCCUCCUCCUCCUCUUCCUCUGUAAAUGGGUACGAUGCAUCCAGUUCAGUUUGUUUACUUUACACAAACCUCAGGAGUUAGUUGACUGAGCUGCACACCCCGUGUUGUGCCAAGCAGAAGCACUGUGACACCUGGACUCUGAGUCUCUCUUACUUCAUCCUCUACCAUAAAGGACUUAGCUGGCCACAAUGAACUGAUGUGCCCACCACUGUGUCAUGGUGAGAAUGGGUAUUUUACUAGCACAUUUACACAACUUCAUUUGCUGCUGAAAACCUGUAUGACAAAUCAUCAUUGUAAAUUAUUGCAUACAAAACGUAAUGUUGGUUGAAGAGUAUUAAAUAUUUAACAUAGGUUUUGAUUUAUACAUGUACUUUUUUAAUUAAAAUGUAACUUUUCCUACAGCACAUCUUUUUUUGAUGUGGAACUGAGGUAUACUAUAUUCUGUUGUAAACAGAGUGGGAAACUGCUUAAAACAAGGCUUCUAAGAAUAGAGUAGGGUACUAUUCUUGUUUUAAGAUUGUAAUUCAGAAAAUAAUAUAAUAUGAGUCAUUGGUCCCUGGGCCUUGAUUGUACAGUCAUAUUUACUGAUGCUAUCAGUUGUAAGAUAACCCUGAUGUUAAGUUCUUUCCAAAAGAAAAAUAAUUUUGUACUCCUUGUAAAAUAAUAGUCUGUAUUAACGACAAUGAAGACAAAUUUUAC